UCGUAGAGGGGGGUAGAAUUCCAGGUGUAGCGGUGAAAUGCGUAGAGAUCUGGAGGAAUACCGGUGGCGAAGGCGGCCCCCUGGACGAAGACUGACGCUCAGGUGCGAAAGCGUGGGGAGCAAACAGGAUUAGAUACCCUGGUAGUCCACGCCGUAAACGAUGUCGACUUGGAGGUUGUGCCCUUGAGGCGUGGCUUCCGGAGCUAACGCGUUAAGUCGACCGCCUGGGGAGUACGGCCGCAAGGUUAAAACUCAAAUGAAUUGACGGGGGCCCGCACAAGCGGUGGAGCAUGUGGUUUAAUUCGAUGCAACGCGAAGAACC
rnacentral:rRNA from 1 species